UUCAGCUGAUGAGUCCCAAAUAGGAUGAUAUAUGCAUCCUGGAA
rnacentral:hammerhead_ribozyme from 1 species